AUAUACUCCCUCCGUCCCAAAUUUUUAGUCUUAGGUUUGUCUAGAAAUGGACGUGAUCAUUCAUAUAUCUAGACAAAUGUAAGACGAGAAUUUUGGGACGGAGGGAGUAUUUC
rnacentral:pre_miRNA from 1 species